rnacentral:sRNA from 1 species
AUGAUACAUGUUGUACGUACAAACAAUAAGCUGAUAUUUACAUUUCUACGACAGAAGAGUUAAAAUUGUAAUUUCUAUUCCACUGAGCGAAAUGGACUUAAAAAUAUACUGUUGACCAACUGUUAUUUGUUAAAAAUAUUUUGUCAAUUAAAAACAAAAGUGCUUUUGCAAUUUAGAUGUGGGAUAGCUCCUCUAUAAAAUUGAAACUGGAAAGUAUGAAAGAAAAGAAGUCCACGAGAUGACAUGUGUUGUAGCUUUUCUAUUGAAGAUGAACUUCAUGUCAUUCUAAAAUGUCCAAUAUAUGUAGUUUUAAGACAAAUAUUAUACAUUUUAAUGAACAUUUUAACCUAUCAUUAUCAGAUGGCGAAAGUUUUAUAUUUUAAUUUAAUAACGGCAAUGUUGCUGGUUUAGUCGCCAAAACACCAACAAAAUUUUAUUUUACAAGAAACUAUAUAUAUAUACAAAUCCUUGGCUGAACUAUAAUUCUUUGCUUAUUUAACCAAUUCAUAUGCUACUAAGAUAUUUUCAAAUAUUUAAGUUUUGAUAAAUACCGUUAUAAAUAUUUUGUCUUAGUUUCUGAUGGUCACAUGGACGUAAUGUUAUUCCAUUGAGAAAAUACAAUAUACAAGAUUGUCGGGUAAAUGUGGAUUGCGGAUUAAAAUGUUAAAUGUCAAACUAGAAUUAACAAAUUAAACUGGAUGAAUUAACACGAAUAUGUAUAUCCUCUACAAAAGUGUUUGAAAUUCAUUUAAACUAAGCUAAAUAUGUUUUGUGGAAAAUUGAAUAAAAAUAAACAUUAUAUGAAGACAUUAUUUAAUUUUUAAUUAAACAAAUAUAAGAUUAGGCAAAUAUAUCAUGUAUCUUCAUAUUCCUUAUAAGAAGGAUUUUAAAUUGAGGAACUUUUAAAACUUGAAAUUGAAUUUACAAGUUCAGAUAUAAUCUUGUUUGGUUUUUUUUUUGUUUUUUUUAUAAAAUAGUUAAAAAUAUGGUAUUAUCAUAACUAGUCUUUCUUUGAAUGGAAUAAACAUGGACCGGAUUAAUUUUUAUUGUGUGCAUGGUUGCCUAUCAAUGACACCGUUUUUAAUGUAUGUCUAAAAGAUUAUUAUCCGAAAAAAUAAUUCACAAUAGUAUGUUGUUAACUAGGUUGGUCCCCUCCGUAAAAAAUUCAGUAUGACUUCGGAAUAUACACAUAUUAAGGUAUUGUCAAGAAUUUCAAUAACGGCUGGGAAACAGACUACAUGUAGUUGUUAACCUUCUAUGAUUAUUAAAAAAUGACGGAUGUUUUUUUUUUCAGUACGUCUAAACACUGCUAAGGAGUCCUUAGUGCACUAAGGCCCUGACUAUGCUACUAAGGACUAGAAGGAGUGCUGUUAUAUGUAUUAUUUUGGAAUAUCAUGUUAGAGAAUAAUAUGUAAUGCAUAAAUUUCAAAUUUUACAGAAAAAUAUUCGUAAAUAAACAUUAUUUAGACACGUGCCGGUUUUUCUUUGAUAUGCCGAUUGAACCGAUUGACACGUGCCAAAUAACAUAGCAACUGAUUAAAUAAUCACGAUUUUUUAUUUUAAGUAAUUUAAAGCAAUUGUAUCGAAAAUAUUCAUGCUUCAAAUAUUUAUAACCAAAUGUGUUGUUCUUAUUUAAAAUGAUAAAAAGGACAAAUCAUUUUGCUGUUGUUUUAUUUCUUUUCGUACAAAAUUGUUUGCAUAUGAGCACGACUUUGAUGUGCGCUAACUUAUAAGUAAGAGUGUGGUCAGCUUGUUAAAAUGUUUAUGUAAGAUAUACGAAGACAAAAGGAAUAUAUUUAUAUUUAUAAGUGUUUUGUUUUUAUUUUAAUUUUGAGAAAGAUGCGUGAAUAUACAAAUUAUUUCAAUAAAAAACGUAAAUUCCGAAAACCAUCAUAAGAAACAACUAUGUUAAGUUUCAUGAAAUGGAUAAUCGGUUCUCAAGUUACAGUGCGACAUGUGGAAGCACGGCGGACGGACGUACGCCGUACAUUUUAUACUAUAACACAUCCCGUCAAAAUGUUAACGGGCGUAUAAAAAAAGCGUAGUGCGACCGUAUGUCAGAAGGAAAUCUGAUUUGUAUGAUUUUUGUCGAGUCUUCGACUUAAGUCGAAAAACGAUUUUUUUUAAUAAAUUGACUGUUUAACAUAUUGUAUGAGACAAUUUAUGAAAUAAUGACUGUGGUAUGUUCAUUACUCACUGUUGAAGGCCGUGGGGUGACUUAUGGUGAACACUUCUGUGUCAUUUUAUUUCUUGCGAUGAGUUGUCUCAUCCCCAAUCCCUCCAAUCAUACCACAUCUUUCAAAAACUUAUAGAACGAUUGUACGAUUGUGUAUUACCUCGUAACUAGCUUCAACAUGUUUAUUUGUGGACAAGUAUCAUUUGCGAAUCUAUAAAACACGUAUUCAAAAUUGCGAUUAACUGGAAACCACAAAGUAUACCAGAACUUGUGAAAACGCUCCACGAACAGGUUAAACUGACGACGGACGACGACGAAGUAACACCAUUAUACGAACGCAAAAUGUGUAUGCGGUCUUUUAAAUACCGACAUUAGAUAUGUUGCUUUUUUGACAAAUUUGUUAUUUACAUGAAAUAUUUACAAAAUACACUUGAGAAAAUACUUCUUCGUUCUGAAUUUUCUGAUCCCCGUGUUAUCAGACCAGGCAAAAGCAAGUGAACAAAAAGCUAGCGAACAAUAUACGACAGAACCACCAUACAAGCAUUUAGAGUCAACACAAUCAGAAAGAGUUCCUUCCCAUCGUUGGACGCGGGGAAUAUGAAGGCUUCCAAGAAUGAACAAGUGAAUUGUCUGACUCUGAACAGUUAGUAAACGGACUAUCAACAUCGACCGCUUGUUCUUGAUAUUUUAAAACUGCAUGCAUAUACGUAUACGUUUAUGAUAGUGAUGAGCUUUUGUGACUGACGAAAACUAAAUUCCUGCAUGGCUAUAUCUUGCCAUACGUUUAUAUUGGUUUGGUAGAUGAUCAAUCAAAAUCGUUAUUUAAAAAUCCUGUUUGUGAGAUGAAGAUUCACUUCAAUAUCCAAAUUUUGGUUAUAUCUUUCACAAGUUUAUAACACGGAGUAGCUUUAAAUGUACAUCACUCCCAUUUUGUUUGGGUGUAAACCAUCGAUGUUUACAGAAUAAGAUGAUGAUGGUAGAAAGGACUAUGGGCGUCGUGUGGCAAAUAUUAUAUGCAUACCGGACAAUAACUGAUGAGUUGUCAAUCUGUAAUAAAUGAUUUCCAAUACAACCAUAUUGAUAAGGAAUGUGUACAUGCUAUACUCUCGUAAAGUAUAAAGGGGUUCUUGUGUCGCUCACCUGAAACACACAUCUUUAAUGAUAUUUAAAAAAAAAGACAGAACCAAUUUAAUGUCAUUUUCCCUAUUUUUUAAUAUAACUAUAAGUCUUUUAUAUGGCAAGAAAAACCCCUAUUUAGCGGAUAAGCAGUGUAUUCUUUUUUCUGUUAUUGGAUACCAAGAAAGAAAGAAAUUAAUCGCGUGAUGACGAAUUCCUUCCUUUGUUCGAGAACAAUCUUAUUGAAAAAGAAAUCUGUGAUUUUACUAUGUCCAUAAUUUCGAUGAACCAAAGCAAGUUAAAUAUCGACCUGUAUUUAAUUCAAAAUGGUUCUCUUUUUCUUCUUUUGCAUGGUAUACAUUAUAGUCCAUCGAUAUCACAUGAUAACAUACUGUUGUCAUGCGAGGACUGGUCUAUUUACAAAACUUUUAACCCAAAUUAAACAAAAUGUAUGUUUCUGUCUUAUGUUCAAUGUAAAAAUGCCGGUAUAUAAUUUAAAAUUGCAACUAUCUAUAGUUCCGUAACGUUCUAUCCAGGCGUAGAAACGAAUGGUUGACAAGUGCGUAUAUUUUGUUAAAUCAAUAUUUCAUGUAUGUUUCAAACUGUCCUUCACUUUUGACAACGAGACGAGUACUUACAUUUUCCCAAAUUUACCCUUGGAAAAAAAUUUGUAAACAGAUUUUUAUCUAAUCAAUUUUUUUUUUAUAUUAUUUAUAUGUUUAUAAAUAAUAUUCUUUACACCAGAAAUGUUAUUUAUAAACAAGCGUAUGAGUUUUAAUAAUAAUGACUAGUAUAUAUCACUAUCGGACACGCACGACAGAGAUGUAUAUUAUACACCCGACAGGAAAUCGCUUGAAUACCUGGACGUGUCAUCUCACAAUACCUUUGGAAGUAAUACCUUUAGCCAUGCAGGUGAUCAGACAAGGGAAGGUCCGAAUUUAUUAAAAUAAGUUUAUUACAUAAAAGAAUUAUGAACAAAUUAGAUUUUCGAAAACAAUUUUCACGGAACACUUAUUUAUGUUCAUUUAUGACGUUGAACUAUGUCUUUUUAACCAUUUCCCAUAUAAACAGUUAAAGACGACAUGCAGACCUUGGUUACUUACAAAAAAAAACCAUUUUCUGUAUCAAAUUAGUAAGUUGGAAAAUACAACCGUACGAUUGACAAGAUAUCCACUCGCAAUUACGACUACAUUAUGUUACUAUCAAUGAAUUGAGCAUUUUUAUACAGAAUGGACAUAAUAUCAAUUUUUGAAUUUUUUGCGGAGUUUCCCUUAAAGCUAAUAAUGAUUAAAUCUCGAAAAAAUGCAUCUUUUCCCGAUAUUUCACAGUUUGACGUCGCGCAAAAUAACAUUUACGGCAGCAAUUUUAAAUGUGUCAAAAAGAACGAAUUCUUCAAUUAUUAAGUAAGAGAAUUUCUGUCAAAAAUCAUUAUAUAGGAAACUUUUAUUAAGGUCAUAUAAUAUGUGAUAAGACUGAUAAUAAAAUACUAUUUCAAUGUCAUGCAAUAAGGUUUAAAUGCAAAGAGUUUUUAGAAGAAAGAGUUCAAUGUCUGCUUUUUUAGAUUAAUUCUGCGAAUUGUGUUUGUCUGUAAAAACAUCAAACAGAGAGAUAAAGAAAAUUCACAAUUAAUUGAAUAAAAUGGAGGAUUGAAAUGGAUCUGUGUCAAAGAGACAACAAUCCGACCAAAGAGCAGAAAAUGGUGCGUCUAAACACGACAAAGGACUCCUAAGUGCACUUAUGAGUUAUAAUAUGGUACUAAGGACUAAAAGGGGUGCUACAUACAAUGUAAACACAUUUAUUAUCUAGAUAAAUAUUGAUAUUUAAUGCAUAUAUAUUCAAAUUUAAUCAAUAAAAGAUCACAAAUGAUAAUAGUAAUGUAACGUUGAAUAUGCUGUAAAUUACAAUUUUACGGGCUUCUUUUACUAUUAGACUAUUAUUUCUCUUAACCUUCACCGUUGUUUUAGAAUAUAGGUAGGCAAUCUUUAACUGAUGUAACACCAGUAUCCUGCGAAGUUUCUAUAUAAUUUAUUUGUUUGUCACAAAUUGAACAUUCCUAAACAAAUAUGGGUACUGUAAAACUUGAAUGAAAGAAAAAACAUUAUUCUAGUCGUGUAUACAUUUACACCAUGAAGUGAACUUGUUAUAUAAUAAACUUAUUUAUACACCAUGUUUCGUAUUGCUUUACGUUCAGUGGCAACUAUUUCAAACAUCAAGCGAGAGAAAAUAUAAAGUUUUGAAAACAAAAUACACGGUGCAAAAUAAUUGCCCCGGUAUUACAUAAUAAAAGCAUUAUAAAUAUUCAAAACUAUUGGAAAUUCAAAAUCACUUAAUAAUGUAUAAAUAAACAAUUGAAUAAAUAAUUUCUUAUUAAUUUGAUUUAGGCUAGCAAGUAUGGUUUUCUACAUCUACAAGACGUUGUAGUACAGGAAAAGACCCACCUUCCACCGUUCAUUAUACCUAAACAUGAUUACCAUUUACCAAAAUCAGUUGACAGCAUUUCUGAAAGUUAUUUGCACAAAUACAAUGUAAAAGAGUUUGGUGUUCCAUAUGCAGUUUCAGACAAUGGUAGUUGUUUAUUCAAUUCUGUAUCAUUAGCUCUAUGUGGGUCACAAGAUAUUGCAAAAGAACUACGUGUACGCACGUGCAUAGAAAUGGUUAUAAAAAAAAACAGAUUCACUACUUUGCCAAUUUCAUCAGAUCUUUUAUGGGUUUCACCAAACUACAUUUCAUCUGUAAUAGAGUGCGCACAAGAAUGUGGAUGGUCGUCUAUUUGGACUAUGUUUGCGUUAGCAGAGGUCAUUGGUAUACCAAUUAAGUCCCUCUACCUCCCUCUUAAUGGUGUUAAAGACUUUUCCUACAAAAUUCUGAACUUAACAGCCAUUCCACGCAACUGCAAAGACGAAGAAAAUCGCAUAACUGUCAUGUGGACGCGUACUUCCUACACUAAUCCAAAACACAUAUGGACACCAAAUCACUUCGUUCCAUUAAUGACUAAACCAUCGUUUGCUACUACAAGAACUUCUAUAAAGCCAGUGAUAGACUGUUUCGACGAAUUUCCACCUCUUUCACCGCCGUUAUCCACUGAACCAUCGGUUUUACAUACAAAAUCACCGAAGCAAGUCAUUGAAUGUUUCGAAAUUCCUUCACUUUCAAGUUCACCAGAUCAAACCCCGCUAUCGACGUCAGAUAUCGACGAUUUGGACCAGUUUCCAGUACUUUUGCCUUCGUCAACUACAACCGAUUCAUUCAAAAACAAUCUCCUCAUUAACGGGAAUUUGACAGCAACAGAAAUCUUCAAAACAAUUAUUAACACUGAAUCUACAUGUUAUGACGCAAUUCCGAAUGGUUCAAAAGAAACUGUGUAUUUUCUUCUUGACAACAGAAGCAACUUGACACGCAAGACACACUUAAAGUCAAAUCAGUUUCAUGACGACUGUGGUGCAUGGGAUUCCCAUAAUGGCCGUACUGUUAAAACAGACUUCGUUGUUCAAUCAGACAAUACUUUGCGUUUUAUAUGUAUGAAAGAUGGUCAGUACUGCAUUGAAAAGCAAGUCAAGGGUAAGAAGACAUUUAUCCCUUUAAAUCCACAGCCUAUCCAAGAUACCAUAGUAACACUGUCAAGAUAUUAUACGCCAUUAAAAAGAGACAAAAUGUACAAAAAACGUGUCAGUCAUUUCAGUCGUAUGCCAACACAACAUCAAGCACGUGCAGACAUAUCACUUGUUGAAUAUACGGGUGCAUUUCCUGAAAACACAGCACCUCAUGGUAAUGCAAAACAUGUCACACAUGACUAUCAACGGACAGAUCCAAAAGUGUUUGAUCAAAUUCAAAAUGGCAUCAAUUCAAAGAAAUCCAACAUUGACAUUUAUCAAGAAAUGGUAUUCAAAAAUCCUGAAAAUGCACCAAGAGAUCUUCAGCAAAUUCGAUCAAAAAGAUACCACGACAAAAAGCAAUCUCACCAAAGUUCAAGUAACCUGCCAGACCAGGUUUGGGAAGCUUUAGCAAUGGUAAACAAUCACGAAUUUGUAGCUGAAGCUGUAUAUACGCGUGGAAAUAAUAUGCCACCGUCUAUAAUUGCGUAUAGUCCAAUGCAGAUUGAAGACAUGAAACUCCAUAUAGAAAAUGACAAAGAUACAAUUCUUGGAAUUGACAGGACAUUUAAUCUGGGACCAACAUAUGUAACCAACUUGGUGUACAAGAACAAAAAAGUGGUAAAAAAGUCAUCACGCGAUUAUCCAAUAUUUGUUGGUCCUGUAUUUUUUCACUGGGACGCCUCUUAUUAUACAUACCAUUCGUUUCUGUCUCAUGUGAAAGCCCGUCUUGAUACUGAUGUACAAUUUAUAGACUUGCGUAUUGGAUCCGACGAUGAGGGUGGCAUAACAAAGGCUAUUGACAAAGUUUUCAAUUCAGCAGAAAGACUUUUAUGUACAAAGCAUAUGAAAGACAAUAUCACAGAUCAUUUAAAAAAUAAACUGCCCUUAACGAAGACUGACCGUUCGAACAUUAUGUCCGACUUGUUUAGUGAAGACGGCAUUGUUACAGCACAUGACGAAGUUGAUUUCCAUUGUAAAUCUGAAAAUCUGUGUACCAAAUAUCCGGUCUUCGCAGACUACUACAACAAAAGAUUAAAAAAUAGGAUUCUUGAUCAUGUUAACAGACCAUUAAAAAGGCAAUCAAACCCCGAUCGAUUGUGGACCAACAACAAUUGUGAAAGCAUGAAUCACAGAUUCAAAAUUGCUACAGACUGGAAACCUCAGAUUCUCCCAGAACUUCUUACUAAAAUUUAUGACAUCACCAAAUUGCAUUUCAUCGACCUAAAGCGAUCACUAUAUGGUCAAGGGAACUACGAACUUUCGCCCUUAUUUCAAAAACACUAUACUUCUCCGCAUAUCUGGGGAAGCAAGACCGCUGAGGAAAAAGACAAACUAUUCAAGAAAUUGUUAUCAAGUAAGACCUUCACAAAUAAAAUGCUUACCUCAACAAAUGGAAAGCUCACCAUUCCAAAUGUAAAACGUCUGGCACGUAAACCAGGUCAACGACAUAGACCAAAACGUGCAGCUGCAAAAACAAUGCCACGCUUCAUAAAGUGA